UGUCCAUCAUCCUUUUGUACAAAUCCAUCUCGUCCUUCAGCCGCAAACUGGUGUCUUCCAACCUGUCCGACAUACGUUGCCGCUCCUGAGCUGUUGGCAACCGACUUCCCCAGGUCCUGGGCCAACAGCCUUCCAGUUCUGGCUGCAGAUGGGAACACAAUGGACACACCUGGGAUCCAUGUACAGGCAAGGCGAUAACCCACCAUCUACGCUUGUGCAGCAAAUGCAGAAGAAAACCCAACUACAAGAGUGAGGGACAGAGUCACCGUUUUCUGCGUGAAUCCAGACAGCAUGUAUUGUUGAAUGACACUAAUGAAGCCAGCGUGUGCAUUACCU